rnacentral:rRNA from 1 species
UGCAGUCGUACGAGAGUUUUUAACUCAAGUGGCGGACGGGUGAGUAACACGUGAGAAUCUGCCUUUAGGAGGGGGACAACAACUGGAAACGGUUGCUAAUACCCCAUAUGCUUUCGAGUGAAAUGAAUUUAUUCGCCUAAAGAGGAGCUCGCGGCUGAUUAGCUUGUUGGUAGAGUAAUAGCCUACCAAGGCGACGAUCAGUAUCUGGUUUGAGAGGACGAUCAGACACACUGGAACUGAGACACGGUCCAGACUCCUACGGGAGGCAGCAGUGGGGAAUAUUGGACAAUGGGCGGAAGCCUGAUCCAGCAAUACCGCGUGUGUGAAGAAGGCCUGAGGGUUGCAAAGCACUUUCAAUAGGGACGAAAAGCCUAAGUUUAAUACGCUUGGGUCUUGACUUAACCUAUACAAGAAGCACCGGCUAACUCCGUGCCAGCAGCCGCGGUAAUACG